UACGGGAGGCAGCAGUGGGGAAUCUUGUUCAAUGGGCGAAAGCCUGAAGCAGCGACGCCGCGUGCGGGAUGAAGGCCUUCGGGUUGUAAACCGCUUUCAGCAGGGACGAAAUUGACGGUACCUGCAGAAGAAGGCCCGGCCAACUACGUGCCAGCAGCCGCGGUAAUACGUAGGGGCCUAGCGUUGUCCGGAUUUAUUGGGCGUAAAGAGCUCGUAGGCGGUUUGGUGAGUCGGGUGUGAAAUCUCCACGCUCAACGUGGAGGGGCCACCCGAUACUGCCAUGACUAGAGUCCGGUAGGGGAGUGUGGAAUUCCCGGUGUAGCGGUGAAAUGCGCAGAUAUCGGGAGGAACACCAGUAGCGAAGGCGACACUCUGGGCCGGUACUGACGCUGAGGAGCGAAAGCGUGGGGAGCAAACAGGAUUAGAUACCCUGGUAGUCCACGCUGUAAACGUUGGGCACUAGGUGUGGGACUCUAUCGACGGGUUCCGUGCCGUAGCUAGCGCAUUAAGUGCCCCGCCUGGGGAGUACGGCCGCAAGGCUAAAACUCAAAGGAAUUGACG
rnacentral:rRNA from 1 species